UACGAAGGGUGCAAGCGUUACUCGGAAUUACUGGGCGUAAAGCGUGCGCAGGCGGUUCGGCAAGUAAGAUGUGAAAUCCCAGGGCUCAGCCUUGGAACUGCAUUUUUAACUACCGGACUAGAGUAUGUCAGAGGGAGGUGGAAUUCCACGUGUAGCAGUGAAAUGCGUAGAUAUGUGGAGGAACACCGAUGGCGAAGGCAGCCUCCUGGGAUAAUACUGACGCUCAUGCACGAAAGCGUGGGGAGCAAACAGG
rnacentral:rRNA from 1 species